rnacentral:rRNA from 1 species
CCCAGUAGCGGCGAGCGAACGGGGAGGAGCCCAGAGCCUGAAUCAGUGUGUGUGUUAGUGGAAGCGUCUGGAAAGGCGCGCGAUACAGGGUGACAGCCCCGUACACAAAAAUGCACAUACUGUGAGCUCGAUGAGUAGGGCGGGACACGUGGUAUCCUGUCUGAAUAUGGGGGGACCAUCCUCCAAGGCUAAAUACUCCUGACUGACCGAUAGUGAACCAGUACCGUGAGGGAAAGGCGAAAAGAACCCCGGCGAGGGGAGUGAAAAAGAACCUGAAACCGUGUACGUACAAGCAGUGGGAGCCUCUUAAUGGGGUGACUGCGUACCUUUUGUAUAAUGGGUCAGCGACUUAUAUUCUGUAGCAAGGUUAACCGAAUAGGGGAGCCGAAGGGAAACCGAGUCUUAACUGGGCGUUAAGUUGCAGGGUAUAGACCCGAAACCCGGUGAUCUAGCCAUGGGCAGGUUGAAGGUUGGGUAACACUAACUGGAGGACCGAACCGACUAAUGUUGAAAAAUUAGCGGAUGACUUGUGGCUGGGGGUGAAAGGCCAAUCAAACCGGGAGAUAGCUGGUUCUCCCCGAAAGCUAUUUAGGUAGCGCCUCGUGAAUUCAUCUCCGGGGGUAGAGCACUGUUUCGGCAAGGGGGUCAUCCCGACUUACCAACCCGAUGCAAACUGCGAAUACCGGAGAAUGUUAUCACGGGAGACACACGGCGGGUGCUAACGUCCGUCGUGAAGAGGGAAACAACCCAGACCGCCAGCUAAGGUCCCAAAGUCAUGGUUAAGUGGGAAACGAUGUGGGAAGGCCCAGACAGCCAGGAUGUUGGCUUAGAAGCAGCCAUCAUUUAAAGAAAGCGUAAUAGCUCACUGGUCGAGUCGGCCUGCGCGGAAGAUGUAACGGGGCUAAACCAUGCACCGAAGCUGCGGCAGCGACACUAUGUGUUGUUGGGUAGGGGAGCGUUCUGUAAGCCUGUGAAGGUGUACUGUGAGGUAUGCUGGAGGUAUCAGAAGUGCGAAUGCUGACAUAAGUAACGAUAAAGCGGGUGAAAAGCCCGCUCGCCGGAAGACCAAGGGUUCCUGUCCAACGUUAAUCGGGGCAGGGUGAGUCGACCCCUAAGGCGAGGCCGAAAGGCGUAGUCGAUGGGAAACAGGUUAAUAUUCCUGUACUUGGUGUUACUGCGAAGGGGGGACGGAGAAGGCUAUGUUGGCCGGGCGACGGUUGUCCCGGUUUAAGCGUGUAGGCUGGUUUUCCAGGCAAAUCCGGAAAAUCAAGGCUGAGGCGUGAUGACGAGGCACUACGGUGCUGAAGCGACAAAUGCCCUGCUUCCAGGAAAAGCCUCUAAGCAUCAGGUAACAUCAAAUCGUACCCCAAACCGACACAGGUGGUCAGGUAGAGAAUACCAAGGCGCUUGAGAGAACUCGGGUGAAGGAACUAGGCAAAAUGGUGCCGUAACUUCGGGAGAAGGCACGCUGAUAUGUAGGUGAAGCGACUUGCUCGUGGAGCUGAAAUCAGUCGAAGAUACCAGCUGGCUGCAACUGUUUAUUAAAAACACAGCACUGUGCAAACACGAAAGUGGACGUAUACGGUGUGACGCCUGCCCGGUGCCGGAAGGUUAAUUGAUGGGGUUAGCGGUAACGCGAAGCUCUUGAUCGAAGCCCCGGUAAACGGCGGCCGUAACUAUAACGGUCCUAAGGUAGCGAAAUUCCUUGUCGGGUAAGUUCCGACCUGCACGAAUGGCGUAAUGAUGGCCAGGCUGUCUCCACCCGAGACUCAGUGAAAUUGAACUCGCUGUGAAGAUGCAGUGUACCCGCGGCAAGACGGAAAGACCCCGUGAACCUUUACUAUAGCUUGACACUGAACAUUGAGCCUUGAUGUGUAGGAUAGGUGGGAGGCUUUGAAGUGUGGACGCCAGUCUGCAUGGAGCCGACCUUGAAAUACCACCCUUUAAUGUUUGAUGUUCUAACGUGGGCCCCUUACCGGGGUUGCGGACAGUGUCUGGUGGGUAGUUUGACUGGGGCGGUCUCCUCCUAAAGAGUAACGGAGGAGCACGAAGGUUGGCUAAUCCUGGUCGGACAUCAGGAGGUUAGUGCAAUGGCAUAAGCCAGCUUGACUGCGAGCGUGACGGCGCGAGCAGGUGCGAAAGCAGGUCAUAGUGAUCCGGUGGUUCUGAAUGGAAGGGCCAUCGCUCAACGGAUAAAAGGUACUCCGGGGAUAACAGGCUGAUACCGCCCAAGAGUUCAUAUCGACGGCGGUGUUUGGCACCUCGAUGUCGGCUCAUCACAUCCUGGGGCUGAAGUAGGUCCCAAGGGUAUGGCUGUUCGCCAUUUAAAGUGGUACGCGAGCUGGGUUUAGAACGUCGUGAGACAGUUCGGUCCCUAUCUGCCGUGGGCGCUGGAGAACUGAGGGGGGCUGCUCCUAGUACGAGAGGACCGGAGUGGACGCAUCACUGGUGUUCGGGUUGUCAUGCCAAUGGCACUGCCCGGUAGCUAAAUGCGGAAGAGAUAAGUGCUGAAAGCAUCUAAGCACGAAACUUGCCCCGAGAUGAGUUCUCCCUGACUCCUUGAGAGUCCUGAAGGAACGUUGAAGACGACGACGUUGAUAGGCCGGGUG